rnacentral:rRNA from 1 species
UACGUAGGGUGCAAGCGUUGUCCGGAAUUAUUGGGCGUAAAGAGCUUGUAGGCGGUUUGUCGCGUCUGCUGUGAAAUUUCGGGGCUCAACCCCGAACUGCAGUGGGUACGGGCAGACUAGAGUGUGGUAGGGGAGACUGGAAUUCCUGGUGUAGCGGUGAAAUGCGCAGAUAUCAGGAGGAACACCGAUGGCGAAGGCAGGUCACUGGACUCGUAUUGACGCUCAUCCACGAAAGCUAGGGGAGCAAACAGG